ACCAGAGAUUAUAGUCAAAAUCUUCUUCUCCUAGAUCAAUGAUCUCAUAGAUCUCAUCCUGGAUCAUGUUUACAUCAAUUAAUUGGUUCCUUUUGUUUUCAAGAUUGAAAAUAUUAAGAUCAAUGGUUAUAUUUCCAAACGAGAGCUUCAUGAGUCCAUUGUGAUAAUUGAUUAGGGCAUUUAUGGUUGCUAAGAAUGGUCUUCCUAAGAUUACUGGGAUGUGACCUUUUGGAUUAGACACUAGUUUAGUCUCGAGGAUCACAAAAUUCACAAGGUAAAUGAAAUUGCCGACCUUGAUUAACACAUCAUCCACAACUCCUUUGGGGACCCUCACUGAUUGAUCUACCAAUUACAAUGUGAUUUAUGUAGGCUUUAAUUCUCCUAUCCCUAUUUUUUCAUAGAUCGAAUAAGGUAAGAUGUUCACACUAGCCCCUAAGUCUAAUAAGGCCCUAUCAAUGAUGGUUUCCCCAAUGACACAAGAGAUUAUCGAAGAUCCUAGAUCUUUAUACUUAACAGGCAUAUGGC
rnacentral:lncRNA from 1 species